rnacentral:rRNA from 1 species
GGCGAACGGGUGAGUAACACGUGGGUAAUCUGCCCUCGAUUCUGGGAUAGCCCGGGGAAACCCGGAUUAAUACCGGAUAGCCUCGCUGGUCUUCGGGCCGGCGAGAAAAGGUAGCUUCGGCCUCCGAUCGAGGAUGAGCCCGCGGCGGAUUAGCUUGUUGGUGGGGUAACGGCCCACCAAGGCGACGAUCCGUAGCUGGUCUGAGAGGACGAUCAGCCACACUGGGACUGAGACACGGCCCAGACUCCUACGGGAGGCAGCAGUGGGGAAUCUUGCCCAAUGGACGAAAGUCUGAGGCAGCGACGCCGCGUGGGGGAAGAAGGCCUUCGGGUUGUAAACCUCUUUCAGCAGGGACGAAGCCACUCGGGUGAAUAGCCCAGAGGGUGACGGUACCUGCAGAAGAAGCCCCGGCUAACUACGUGCCAGCAGCCGCGGUAAUACGUAGGGGGCAAGCGUUGUCCCGAUUUAUUGGGCGUAAAGAGCGUGUAGGCGGCCAGACAGGUCCGUUGUGAAAACUAGAGGCUUAACCUCUAGACGUCGAUGGAAACCGUCUGGCUAGAGUCCGGAAGAGGAGAAUGGAAUUCCUGGUGUAGCGGUGAAAUGCGCAGAUAUCAGGAAGAACACCCGUGGCUAAGGCGGUUCUCUAGUACGGUACUGACGCUGAGACGCGAAAGCGUGGGGAGCGAACAGGAUUAGAUACCCUGGUAGUCC